UACGUAGGGGGCAAGCGUUGUCCGGAUUUAUUGGGCGUAAAGAGCGUGUAGGCGGCUUGGUAGGUCCGCUGUGAAAACUCGAGGCUCAACCUCGAGACGUCGGCGGAAACCCUCUGGCUAGAGUCCGGAAGAGGAGAGUGGAAUUCCUGGUGUAGCGGUGAAAUGCGCAGAUAUCAGGAAGAACACCCGUGGCGAAGGCGGCUCUCUGGGACGGUACUGACGCUGAGACGCGAAAGCGUGGGGAGCAAACAGG
rnacentral:rRNA from 1 species